CAGUCGCCACGGGAAUACGAAGGGGGCUAGCGUUGCUCGGAAUUACUGGGCGUAAAGGGAGCGUAGGCGGGUCGUUUAGUCAGAGGUGAAAUCCCGGGGCUCAACCUCGGAACUGCCUUUGAUACUGGCGACCUUGAGUAUGGGAGAGGUGAGUGGAACUCCGAGUGUAGAGGUGAAAUUCGUAGAUAUUCGGAAGAACACCAGUGGCGAAAGCGACUCACUGGCCCAUUACUGACGCUGAGGCUCGAAAGCGUGAGGAGCAAACAGGAUUAGAGACCCCCGUAGUCCCUGCCUCUUAUCU
rnacentral:rRNA from 1 species